rnacentral:lncRNA from 1 species
GUUAGUACACAGUUCUCAUCACUCUCCGAGUGUUGGGUGCUCAUAGUGGCAGGUUUUUUUGUUCCUACUAAUGCCUACAGUUCUAAACACUAACAUCAAGAGACUAAGGAACACCCAAACUCAUAAGUAGAAAACAAAUUGACAACAUCAUAAAAAAAAAGAAAAAGACAAAUACAAAUAAAAAAACAGAACAUAGAAGUUAAAUAAUGUGCAAACCAAAAAAAAAACAGAACAUAGAAAUUAAAUAAUGUGCAAACCAAAAAAAACAGAACAUAGAAAUUAAAUAAUGUGCAAACCAAAAAAACAGAAC